UUACCCGCUGAGUUUAAGCAUAU
rnacentral:snRNA from 1 species